UACGUAGGCAGCAAGCGUUGUUCGGAGUUACUGGGCGUAAAGGGUGCGUAGGCGGCUUUUUAAGUUUGGUGUGAAAUCUCCCGGCUCAACUGGGAGGGUGCGCCGAAUACUGAGAGGCUAGAGUGUGGGAGAGGAAAGUGGAAUUCCUGGUGUAGCGGUGAAAUGCGUAGAUAUCAGGAGGAACACCGGUGGUGUAAACGGCUUUCUGGACCAUAACUGACGCUGAGGCACGAAAGCUAGGGGAGCAAACAGG
rnacentral:rRNA from 1 species